GAGCGGAAAGCAGGCCUUGGUAUCUCAACUUGCACCAAGGGCUAUAUAUAGAGAUACUCAAAUCCAUUAGUCUCCUGAGCUGUUUGUAUUUGCCAGUUCCCUCAUAAUCACAAUCUGACACAUUUGGUAAAGGAAGUUACAGUGUGCAUACUAAUACAGCCCAUUUUAAUAUUUGCUCUCUCUGCAAGAUCAAGUACUAAUUUAGACACUCAAAAUAGCUCCCUGAACAAACCUGUUUUUCUCCAAUGACUUUACACAGAAUCUAAGGAGACUGGGCACUUAAUUUACGUGUUGAAAGUGCAAAUGCUGCUUAUGCAUAUAAUGAAUGUAUAUAUGUUGUGUUACAGAGGUAAAAACUGACCUGACCUGGAGCCCCAGUCAAGAUUUUUCAAGAAAGCAACUGCUUUGGACAUUUCUGUGACCAGACUGGAAAAGAGAACGGGUAUAUUCAUUUGAGCUCUGACCACCCCAUGGAUGCAUACCAGGUACUGCCAGCCCCACUGAGUGAAACCCAGUGGGGUUUCAGUCUCCAGCUGACACUAUACUCUCAGUCUGAAAGCCUGGUGACCUGGGAUGAUUGCUAUUUAGGAGAGGACGUUUAAGAAAAACAGCUGUACUCACAGUGCUCAAAGGACCACUCCCAUAGCUGGACGGACCAGCCAGCAGAAACAUUUGACCACACUGCUUUCCUCCAGUCCUGCUCCUCAACGCUCCCUGCCUGGCCAUUCAUGUGCAAAGUGGAAAGUCUGGCAAACGCUGCUCUGCUCACCCAGUGCUACACGGAGCUCCCCUUUCCUUGCAAAGGCUGCCCAAGAAACCCGAGCAAACAGGGCUGUGGCAGCCUACAUCAAGAGGAAGCUGGGAGGCCAACCCUGCCUGCCUCACGGCUAGGGGCAUCCGACGAGGUCCUGCGGCGCCAGAGUUCCCCACACUGUUUGAAUUCCUUUCUAAAUAUAGCAGAUUCUUUCUCAGAGAUUUCGUACUUAAACUGUCAUUUAGUACUUACAUGAUGGGCACCAUUAUUCAUCUGGAAAAAACAAUUUGCUUCCAUAAUGAUCAAAUUCUCCUCCCUUCAGAUUUUGACCUCAAAAACUAGACAGUGGCCAUUUGUGCAUGGUUUCUAAUAUUACAGUAACCCAAGCAGUAAACAUCAGCUUAAGUUGAGACAAUGGAGCUUUGUGAUUGAGUUCUGUAAUGUUUAGGCUCCAGCUGGCUCACAAGCAAGCUUGGGUAUUACUAUAGCAUCUUCUCUUACUUCAAUAUCCUGUUCAGUGAUCACAGCUGGAAAGGAAACUUUUGCUGUCGUGUGAAUUAUGUUUGAACAUAGAAAAAGUGUUCGCAUUCCACAUCAGGAAAGGUCCUUCAACAGACUGGCUAGCACUUAUAAAUACAGCUGUGUGGGAUGUGAGAAAUCAAGGCUCAGGUCACUGCUGCCAUCCCUCCAUACUCAAGGUGAGUGGCUGAGCUGGCCAUUCACUGGCAAACUCAACCUGGAUUGCAGCAGGUGAAACUUCCCACUAUGACCAGGAAAGAUAACAGAACUUAAUAGUGUCUGACUGUAGCCCAGCAGGCCUUCCUUCUCACUUUUUAAAGUUCACUGUCUGACCAAAAAAAAAAAAAAAAAAAAAAACCACCUUCAUUACAUUUCUCACGAUCAGUCUCACAAGUUUUUUGAGGUACUCGGGUGAACAACAGAACAGCAGCAGGUACAGCAAACAGAAACUAGAGCUGCCCAGCUCAGACCAGCUAUGCAAGAAAGGGCAAGGAACUGGACCCAGCCCAAAGGGGAAUAGUGCCGAUAGCAUCAAGUGAAAGUUGGCUACAAAAAGAAUUGGGAAUAACAGUUUUAAUAAAACUGGAUGAGGAUGGGUUUUUGAGUGGUUUUACUUUUUCGAGCAGAGGAUUAAGUAACUUACUAGUUGGGUAACAGUAAAUAGGCUAGAAAGACUAGUUUGGUCUGAGAUAGACUGGGCCAACUGAUUUCAUGCUUUAAAACGCUUAGGUUGCCUUGUUUUAAUGGCACAUUUAUCUGUUUGUAGUCAGUUCAGUUAUAACCUU